rnacentral:snRNA from 1 species
CCUAAGAUGAGCUCAACGAGAA